rnacentral:rRNA from 1 species
GAUGAACGCUGGCGGCGUGCCUAAUACAUGCAAGUCGAGCGAACGGACGAGAAGCUUGCUUUUCUGAUGUUAGCGGCGGACGGGUGAGUAACACGUGGAUAACCUACCUAUAAGACUGGGAUAACUUCGGGAAACCGGAGCUAAUACCGGAUAAUAUUUUGAACCGCAUGGUUCAAAAGUGAAAGACGGUCUUGCUGUCACUUAUAGAUGGAUCCGCGCUGCAUUAGCUAGUUGGUAAGGUAACGGCUUACCAAGGCAACGAUGCAUAGCCGACCUGAGAGGGUGAUCGGCCACACUGGAACUGAGACACGGUCCAGACUCCUACGGGAGGCAGCAGUAGGGAAUCUUCCGCAAUGGGCGAAAGCCUGACGGAGCAACGCCGCGUGAGUGAUGAAGGUCUUCGGAUCGUAAAACUCUGUUAUUAGGGAAGAACAUAUGUGUAAGUAACUGUGCACAUCUUGACGGUACCUAAUCAGAAAGCCACGGCUAACUACGUGCCAGCAGCCGCGGUAAUACGUAGGUGGCAAGCGUUAUCCGGAAUUAUUGGGCGUAAAGCGCGCGUAGGCGGUUUUUUAAGUCUGAUGUGAAAGCCCACGGCUCAACCGUGGAGGGUCAUUGGAAACCGGAAAACUUGAGUGCAGAAGAGGAAAGUGGAAUUCCAUGUGUAGCGGUGAAAUGCGCAGAGAUGUGGAGGAACACCAGUGGCGAAGGCGACUUUCUGGUCUGUAACUGACGCUGAUGUGCGAAAGCGUGGGGAUCAAACAGGAUUAGAUACCCUGGUAGUCCACGCCGUAAACGAUGAGUGCUAAGUGUUAGGGGGUUUCCGCCCCUUAGUGCUGCAGCUAACGCAUUAAGCACUCCGCCUGGGGAGUACGACCGCAAGGUUGAAACUCAAAGGAAUUGACGGGGGCCCGCACAAGCGGUGGAGCAUGUGGUUUAAUUCGAAGCAACGCGAAGAACCUUACCAAAUCUUGACAUCCUUUGACAACUCUAGAGAUAGAGCCUUCCCCUUCGGGGGACAAAGUGACAGGUGGUGCAUGGUUGUCGUCAGCUCGUGUCGUGAGAUGUUGGGUUAAGUCCCGCAACGAGCGCAACCCUUAAGCUUAGUUGCCAUCAUUAAGUUGGGCACUCUAAGUUGACUGCCGGUGACAAACCGGAGGAAGGUGGGGAUGACGUCAAAUCAUCAUGCCCCUUAUGAUUUGGGCUACACACGUGCUACAAUGGACAAUACAAAGGGCAGCGAAACCGCGAGGUCAAGCAAAUCCCAUAAAGUUGUUCUCAGUUCGGAUUGUAGUCUGCAACUCGACUACAUGAAGCUGGAAUCGCUAGUAAUCGUAGAUCAGCAUGCUACGGUGAAUACGUUCCCGGGUCU